CCUACGGGAGGCAGCAGUAGGGAAUAUUGGACAAUGGGCGAAAGCCUGAUCCAGCAAUGCCGCGUGAGUGAUGAAGGCCUUAGGGUCGUAAAGCUCUUUUACCAGGGAUGAUAAUGACAGUACCUGGAGAAUAAGCUCCGGCUAACUCCGUGCCAGCAGCCGCGGUAAUACGGAGGGAGCUAGCGUUGUUCGGAAUUACUGGGCGUAAAGCGUACGUAGGCGGUUAUUCAAGUCAGAGGUGAAAGCCCGGGGCUCAACCCCGGAACUGCCUUUGAAACUAGGUAGCUAGAAUCUUGGAGAGGUCAGUGGAAUUCCGAGUGUAGAGGUGAAAUUCGUAGAUAUUCGGAAGAACACCAGUGGCGAAGGCGACUGACUGGACAAGUAUUGACGCUGAGGUACGAAAGCGUGGGGAGCAAACAGGAUUAGAUACCCUGGUAGUCCACGCCGUAAACGAUGAUAACUAGCUGUUCGGGCACUUGGUGCUUGAGUGGCGCAGCUAACGCAUUAAGUUAUCCGCCUGGGGAGUACGGUCGCAAGAUUAAAACUCAAAGGAAUUGAACGG
rnacentral:rRNA from 1 species